GUGGUCUUGGUUUUGGUUAAGGUUUUUUUUUUUUAAAGAAAAAAGGUACAAGGUACAAUGUGCAUUUCAGUAGUUCUAAUCCACUGGGUAACU